CCCUUAGAUGUUCUGGGCCGCACGCGCGCUACACUGAUGCAUUCAACGAGUCUAAAACCUGGUCUGAUAGGGCUGGGUAAUCUUUUGAAAGUGCAUCGUGAUUGGGAUAGAUGAUUGCAAUUCUUCAUCUUCAACGAGGAAUGCCUAGUAAACGCAAGUCAUCAGCUUGCAUUGAUUACGUCCCUGCCCUUUGUACACACCGCCCGUCGCUCCUACCGAUUGAAUGAUCCGAUGAAUACCAUGGAUUGAGAGUACGAAUGGGUUCGCUCAUUUCUGCUGCUCGAGAAGUGGAGUAAAUCUUAUCAUUGAGAGGAAGGAGAAGUCGUAACA
rnacentral:rRNA from 1 species